rnacentral:rRNA from 1 species
CGUAGGGUGCGAGCGUUAAUCGGAAUUACUGGGCGUAAAGCGUGCGCAGGCGGUUUAGUAAGACAGGCGUGAAAUCCCCGGGCUCAACCUGGGAACUGCGCUUGUGACUGCUAAGCUAGAGUACGGCAGAGGGGGGUGGAAUUCCACGUGUAGCAGUGAAAUGCGUAGAGAUGUGGAGGAACACCAAUGGCGAAGGCAGCCCCCUGGGUCGAUACUGACGCUCAUGCACGAAAGCGUGGGUAGCAAACAGGAUUAGAUACCCUGGUAGUCCACGCCCUAAACGAUGUCAACUAGGUGUUGGGAGGGUAAAACCUUUUUAGUACCGGAGCUAACGCGUGAAGUUGACCGCCUGGGGGAGUACGGCCGCAAGGUUA